UAGUGGCGCCGUCUUUUGUCAAACGGUGGAAACUUAUUUGUAUACCUAAUAAAUAUGUCAAAAUCAACCAUCCACGAGCAUUUUGUGAAGCUUGGCUACAUAAACCGUUUUGAUAUAUGGGUUCCCCGAUUUAACGGAGAAAAAUCUGAUGAAUCGCAUUUCCAUUUGCGACUCGCUUUAUAAACACAACGAGGAGACACCAUUUUUGAAGCAAGUAGUGACGGGGGAUGAAAAAUGGAUCAUUUAUAAUAAUGUUAAGCGAAAAAGAUCUUAGGGAAAGCGGAAUGAACCACCUUUAGCUACCCCAAAAACCGGUCUUCAUCCAAAGAAGGUCAUGCUCUGUGUCUGAUGGGAUUGGAAAGGAUUCCUGUAUUAUGAGCUUUUACCAUACAACGAGACGAUAUAUUCAGAGAAGUAUUGUUCCCAAUUAGAUGAAUUAAAGACAACAAUUGAAGACAAAAAUGUCCAAAAAUAGUGAGUCGGAAGGGCGUCGUGUUUCAUCAGGACAAUGCGUGGCCUUAUGUGUCUUUGAUAACUCGACAAAAGUUGUUGGAGCUCGGUUGGGAUGUUCUACUCCAUUCACCAUAUUCACCAGACCUCGCGCCCUCUGAUUUCCACCUAUUUCGAUCAUUACAAAAUUCCCUUAAUGGAAAAAACUUCAACUCUUUGGUCGAGAUAAAAAAAUCACGUAGAAAAGUUUUUCGCUGAAAAACCUGAGAGAUUUUGGAAGGACGAAAUUUUCAAGUUGCUUGAAAGAUGGAGAAAGAAAAAGCGAAAAAAAACGCAGAAAAAACGGAAAAAGGACGAUAACUCUUCAGAGACCACAACCGAGGAAGAGUCAGAUAAAGAGACAAAUAAGAAAAGGC